GAUGAACGCUGGCGGCGUGCCUAAUACAUGCAAGUCGAGCGAACAGACGAGGAGCUUGCUCCUCUGACGUUAGCGGCGGACUGGUGAGUAACACGUGGAUAUCCUCCCUAUAAGACUGUGAUAACUUCGGGCAACCGGAGCUAAUACCUGAUAAUAUCUUGAACCGCAUGGUUCAAUAGUGAAAGCCGGUUUUGCUGUCACUUAUAGAUGUAUCCGCGCGGCAUUAGCUAGUUGGUAAGGUAACGGCUUACCAAGGCAACGAUGCGUAGCCGACCUGAGAGGGUGAUCGGCCACACUGGAACUGAGACACGGUCCAGACUCCUAAGGGAGGCAGCAGUAGGGAAUCUUACGCAAUGGGCGAAAGCCUGACGGAGCAACGCCGCGUGAGUGAUGAAGGUCUUCGGAUCGUAAAACUCUGUUAUGAGGGAAGAACAAAUGUGUAAGUAAAUAUGCACGUCGUGACGGUACCUAAUCAGAAAGCCACGGCUAACUACGUG
rnacentral:rRNA from 1 species